GAUGAACGCUGGCGGCGUGCCUAAUACAUGCAAGUCGAGCGAACAGACGAGGAGCUUGCUCCUCUGACGUUAGCGGCGGACGGGUGAGUAACACGUGGAUAACCUACCUAUAAGACUGGGAUAACUUCGGGAAACCGGAGCUAAUACCGGAUAAUAUAUUGAACCGCAUGGUUCAAUAGUGAAAGACGGUUUUGCUGUCACUUAUAGAUGGAUCCGCGCCGCAUUAGCUAGUUGGUAAGGUAACGGCUUACCAAGGCAACGAUGCGUAGCCGACCUGAGAGGGGGAUCGGCCACACUGGAAAUGAGACACGGUCCAGAAACAGACGGGAGGCAGCAGUAGGGAAUAUUCCGCAAUGGGCGAAAGCCUGACGGAGCAACGCCGCGUGAGUGAUGAAGGUCUUCGGAUCGUAAAACUCUGUUAUUAGGGAAGAACAAAUGUGUAAGUAACGAUGCACGUCUUGACGGUACCUAAUCAGAAAGCCACGGCUAACUACGU
rnacentral:rRNA from 1 species